GUUGGCUGACCGGAAUAUACGGUUUUUUUUGUAAGGUCACUCCUGUGGCCAUUAAGGCGUUUGUGAAAUGGCUGCAUAGAUUCACCAACAUAUUGGAGACCACAUCUAGGACACUCAAGAACGUAAAUCACGUUUGAGCUUUUGCAGUUGACAUUGCAGAAGAUCUUGUAUGUCUUUUCUGUGGUCUUACUGUGAAAUGUUGAUGAAUGCUGCAAUUGGUUGCAACAUUUGCAGCGCUUAUCCCCACAAGGCUGGC
rnacentral:lncRNA from 1 species